ensembl:lncRNA
ACAUCCCCCCGCACAGACCUGAUGGAGCUGAUCACACUGGUCCAAACUGGCUCUAGAGGAAUGUAAGAAGCUAGGAAAGAGGAAAAAAAUAGAAAGGGUACAUGGGUAGCAAGGGUAUAUUUUCAACGCUAUUGAUAAUGUGGACAUGGAAAGUAAUGCAACAGUUUGGUUUUAGAGCAAUUUGGAUGUUUUUGCUGCUGGCAGAUUCGGCUGCUCUCAUCUCAGAACCCUUUGAAGGGAGCGCCGACCUGCCCAUGCAGUUGGAGACGGACCUUGGCUGGUGCUCGGAGGGAACGUACGUCUCCUACCACGGCUGCUUGGAAUGCACAACAGGCCACUUUUGUCCUGGCAACGUGUCAGCACCUCACAAAUGCCCACCGGGAACAUUCAACUUCUACACAGG